GAUGAAGAACGCAGCGAAAUGCGAUAAGUAGUGUGAAUUGCAGAAUUCAGUGAAUCAUCGAAUCUUUGAACGCACGUUGCGCCCCUUGGUAUCCCGAGGGGCAUGCCUGUUCGAGCGUCAUUUCACCACUCAAGCCUGGCUUGGUGUUGGGCGACGUCCUCUUUGGGGACGCGCCUCGAAACGCUCGGCGGCGUGGCACCGGCUUUAAGCGUAGCAGAAUCUUUCGCUUUGGAAGUCGGGGCCCCGUCUGCCGGAAGACCUGCUCGCAAGGUUGACCUCGGAUCAGGCAGGGAUACCCGCUGAACUUAAGCAUAUCAAUAAGCGGAGGA
rnacentral:misc_RNA from 1 species